CAAAAACAGUUUUUUGAAAACGUUAACUUUGGAAGUUAAAAGAUGAUUUACUUCAUUUUUG
rnacentral:tRNA from 1 species